AUGAACUCUAAUUUUCUUUAUCUCUUCUCCCAUUCCAUCACCGUCGUCGCCACCCGAGCAUAACCGGCUCAUUUAGUGCCCCACAAAACAAAACGCCGUUACUAUUACACAUACUUAUGAAUUCUCAAUUUUAAUUUUCAUUGUAGUGCCUCGUUAAUUGAGUGUCAGCUAGGUUUUGUUUGUUUGUCCCCUUUUUUAAGGCAGUUAAUUGCGUUGAUUAAGAAGGAAGGUAUGGCGGCGAAAAAAAAUCAACGAUGCCUUAUAGUGCUAAUGCAUACAAGGAUCUGCGACAUCAACCCAAGAAGUAGGAGGAGGAGGCUAUGGUUUGGGAAAAUCUGCCUCUGUUUCCUUUAAUUGUGGUUUGGGAAAAUUUGCCUCCGUUUUCUUUAAUUUUAGCAUGGAUCUUCCACUGGGUCGCAUGCACGUUUUGGAGUUGGAUUCUAAGAUUCAUCUCGUUGUUUGGAGUUGGAUUCCAAGAUUCAUCUCGUUGGAGGUUUCAAAUACUUGUCCGUACUUGAUUAUUAUUGUGAUGGUCCUUGCUAUCCUUCCAAAAGAGUCUACGAACUAGACCUUGACAAGGAGGUGGAGGAGUCGAAUCCAAUAGAUGACUUUCCAAAGUUAUUGAUACCGGAUCUAUGCUCUUCACAAAAUCUGGAAGUGUUUGUUAUUUUAUAAGGAUGUGUGGUCUCGACCAUCUCGUACAUGAGGCUGGUCCUCCGAAGGUUGGCGUGGCUGCGGGCUGCAGGCGGUGGGGCUGGGUCAAUGGGUGUGUAGAGUUGAGUUGAUUUUUUUUUUUUUCAAUUUCAGAGAAGAAUGGGCUGAGAUUCAAAGUGAGCCAUUUGCUCUGCUAGGGUUUUGCCCUUCUUUCAACCCCUAUUGCCAUUGUCUCUUCCUCUUCCUCUCCUUCUGCCGUCUGUCUCAUCCGCUCAUCUUCGCCGCGCAACCCGCUUCUCCCGCCGCCGCGCAACCCACUUUUCUAUUAGGUGUCAUUUUCACCCUAUCUCUUGUAUAUGAAGGACCAUGGAAUUGUCCAGAAUGUAAGAUUAACAUGAUUGGGCCAACAGUUGCAAAGGAAACACCACAUUCCACUUGGAUCUUGUACUAUAAAGUUGAAUGCAACAACUGAGAUGAUGCCAGUAACAUAGCCCAGCUUCACUGAUAUUCACCCUUUUGCACCAACUGAACAGGCUCAAGGUUAUCAGAAAAUGUUCAACAAUUUGGGUGACUUGCUGUAUACCAUCACCGGGUUUGACUCCUUCUCUUUGCAACCAAAUGCUGGAGCUGCAGGAGAGUAUGCUGGGCUGAUGGUUAUUCGAGCAUAUCAUUUGGUAUGAUGACUUGACUCAUUUUAAAUAUGUCCGCUUAACUUUUAUGGAAAAUAUUUACUAUUGGAAAGGAUUUUUUAUCAAUUUAUGAGUUAAUUUAUGACUCUUCUGAUUUACUUACAUUCUAAAGCAGUAUUUGACAUUUUUAUUUAACAUUGUAUUUGAUCAUUUCAUCUAAUAGUUGAUAACCUUCAGUUGUGCUAUUGUCUCAUGCUAUAUAUUUAUAAGAGGUUGUGCUGGAAGAUUUUAGGACUUUCUUCUGCUAUCGUUAAGAAAUCUCUGUAAGAAUAGCGUAGGAAGCAGAAUUUAACAAAUACCACAGCUUCCUUUGAUGUUGUACACUCUGAUGUUACAUUAUACACUUCUUGAUCGAUGCACUUUUGGCAUUUCUCUGGCGUUAUAUCGGCAUUGCACUGGAAGAGGCCAUAGACGCUGCUGUUACCAAAAUAAACGACCUUGGUGAUGUGGGAUCCGGCAGAGUUAGUGGCAAUGGAAGAAAGCCAAGAUAAAAGAGUUUUGAGGUUGGUAUGGUAGGUGCUGUUUCCUGUGCAGUUAGACAUGUGGAAAUUGGUUUCUGGUGUAGUUGUAGAAGAAGAACAAAACCAUGUGAUGGAGAGUAGCAGCAGAAACUGGAAUAACAAAAAUGAAUGCAUGUUUCUUUGUUCAUAACGAAAUGCAAUUAAGGAGCUCAUAUUAUAGUGUAACUAGCAAGUGGAGUGCUAUCUAACCUUUAUUUUGAUGAACAUGCUCUCCAAAUGCACAUUCUUUAUUAUUUUAGCCAUCCUUUGUUGAUUUUCUUUUAAAAGGGACUUUAUAUAUUUGAAAGAAUCUAUUGGAGCAUUCAUUAAGUUGUCCCUUGUUACUUAUAUUAUAUUUAGAGUAAGUAAUAACUUCAAAUAUGGUGUGUAAAUGGCUAAAAGGAGUUAAAUAGAUAGGCGUGUUAUGUAUCGAAUAAUGAUAGAUAUGUAAAAAACGAGUCCA